GACGGGGGGGGCAAGUGUUCUUCGGAAUGACUGGGCGUAAAGCGUGCGCAGGCGGUUCGUUGUGUCGGCGGUGAAAGCCCCGGGCUUAACCUGGGAAUGGCCGUCGAAACUGGCGAACUGGAGUGUGGCAGAGGGGGGUGGAAUUCCGCGUGUAGCAGUGAAAUGCGUAGAGAUGCGGAGGAACACCGAUGGCGAAGGCAGCCCCCUGGGCUGACACUGACGCUCAGGCACGAAAGCGUGGGGAGCAAACGGG
rnacentral:rRNA from 1 species